UUGGAUUGGACGCAAUAAACUCCUCGAAAGCGACCUUUACACGGUCCAAGAACCACAUAGACUCAGAUUUCUCCAGAUCUUCAUCGAAAAUGGCGAAAUAGGCAAAAGGUUCAUGGAUUAAAAAGGCAUAGGUCUUCUUGCGAAUGGUAUGGGAGAAGAUGGAGUGGUGAGGAGGGGUCUUCUCUAUGCAUUGCUUAGCUACAACUUCGAUUCCCGGCUCUUUGGACAACGACAACUCGGAAAGGAUUGUGGAUCCUUUUGCAAUGCAAGCAUAGAAGACGAGAUGUGGAUUCGAAAUCAUUUCCUUUUCCUUUGGUAUAAAUCAAGGAAAAGCAAAAUUUUCGAGAGAAAAUGGAUACCGAGAUGGAGAAAAAAAAAAAUUGCAUUGCAAGUACGAUA
rnacentral:misc_RNA from 1 species